GGUAUGGGAUGAGCUUGCGUCCGAUUAGCUAGUUGGCGGGGCAACGGCCCACCAAGGCGACGAUCGGUAGCCGGCCUGAGAGGGUGAUCGGCCACAUUGGGACUGAGAUACGGCCCAGACUCCUACGGGAGGCAGCAGUAGGGAAUAUUGCACAAUGGGGGAAACCCUGAUGCAGCAACGCCACGUGUGGGAAGAAGCAUUUCGGUGUGUAAACCACUGUCGUGAGGGAAUAAGGCUAUUUUUCGGAGUAGUUGAAUGUACCUCGAGAGGAAGCACCGGCAAACUUCGUGCCAGCAGCCGCGGUAAUACGAGGGGUGCAAGCGUUGUUCGGAAUCACUGGGCGUAAAGGGAGCGCAGGCGGAAGCUCAAGCGGAUUGUACAAUACCGGGGCCCAACCCCGGACCUGCAGUCCGAACUGGGUUUCUUGGAUAGUUCAGGGGCAGG
rnacentral:rRNA from 1 species